rnacentral:rRNA from 1 species
AUUUAACGAAAGUGGCGAACGGGUGAGUAACACGUGAGCAACCUGCCUUACACAGGGGGAUAGCCAUUGGAAACGGUGAUUAAUACCCCAUAAGACCACAAUACCGCAUGGUAAAAGGGUAAAAGGGAUACCGGUGUAAGAUGGGCUCGCGUCUGAUUAGCUAGUUGGUGGGGUAAAGGCCUACCAAGGCGACGAUCAGUAGCCGGUCUGAGAGGAUGAACGGCCACAUUGGAACUGAGACACGGUCCAAACUCCUACGGGAGGCAGCAGUC